CCUACGUGGAGCUGCAGUGGGGAAUAUUGGACAAUGGGCGAAAGCCUGAUCCAGCCAUGCCGCGUGUGUGAAGAAGGCCUUCGGGUUGUAAAGCACUUUCAGUGGGGAAGAAAGCCUUGGGGCUAAUACCCUCGAGGAAGGACAUCACCCACAGAAGAAGCACCGGCUAACUCCGUGCCAGCAGCCGCGGUAAUACGGAGGGUGCGAGCGUUAAUCGGAAUUACUGGGCGUAAAGCGCGCGUAGGCGGUCUGAUAAGCCGGUUGUGAAAGCCCCGGGCUCAACCUGGGAACGGCAUCCGGAACUGUCAGGCUAGAGUGCAGGAGAGGAAGGUAGAAUUCCCGGUGUAGCGGUGAAAUGCGUAGAGAUCGGGAGGAAUACCAGUGGCGAAGGCGGCCUUCUGGACUGACACUGACGCUGAGGUGCGAAAGCGUGGGUAGCAAACAGGAUUAGAUACCCGGGUAGUC
rnacentral:rRNA from 1 species